AGAACGGCGGACUGUUAAUCCGUAUGUCGCUGGUUCAAGUCCAGCAAAGGGAG
rnacentral:tRNA from 1 species